rnacentral:rRNA from 1 species
AGCGAACGUUUGCGGCGGGCUUAACACAUGCAAGUCGAACGGGCUGUUCCUUCGGGGGCAGGUCAGUGGCGCACGGGUGCGUAACACGUAGGUAAUCAACCCUCUGGUUGGGGAUAACACUUCGAAAGGAGUGCUAAUACCCGGUAUGGCGCAGCGGUCUUCGGAUCGCGGCGAGAAAGACCCGCAAGGGUUUGCCAGAGGACGAGCCUGCGGCCCAUCAGCUAGUUGGCGAGGUAACGGCUCACCAAGGCGAAGACGGGUAGCUGGUCUGAGUGGAUGAUCAGCCACACUGGAACUGAGACACGGUCCA